rnacentral:tRNA from 1 species
UGGCUUAGUCGGUAAAGAAUCCGCCUGCAAUGUGGGAGAUCAGGGUUCAAUCCCUG